rnacentral:rRNA from 1 species
UAGGGGAUAUUGGUCAAUGGGUGAGAGCCUGAACCAGCCAUGCCGCGUGCAGGAAGAAGGCCUUCUGGGUUGUAAACUGCUUUUGCCGGGGGAUAAAAUGGCUUUGCGAAGCUAAUUGAAGGUACCCGGUGAAUAAGCCACGGCUAACUACGUGCCAGCAGCCGCGGUAAUACGUAGGUGGCAAGCGUUGUCCGGAUUUAUUGGGUUUAAAGGGUGCGUAGGCGGUUCUAUAAGUCAGUGGUGAAAUACUCCGGCUCAACCGGAGAGGUGCCAUUGAUACUGCAGAACUUGAGUACAGACGAGGUAGGCGGAAUUGACGGUGUAGCGGUGAAAUGCUUAGAUAUCGUCAAGAACACCGAUAGCGAAGGCAGCUUACUAGACUGUAACUGACGCUGAGGCACGAAAGUGUGGGGAUCAAACAGGAUUAGAUACCCAUGUAGUCCCUGAGCGGGCUGGCAAGGCGCAU